GUAUUCAAGCAUUCUUCUGGUCUUCUUCAAAAACUUGGUAGUGCAGCAUCGUUCUCCAAUUCUAAAAGGUUUUGGGCGUAAGGUGAUAUCCUGGAGGGCUGGAGGAGUUUUAAACGGAAAUGUUAUGCAAAGCGUUGAUCAAGAAGAUGAACGAUUGAGAAGUUUGAAAGACGAGUUGGGUGUUCAAGCUUACAAGCUAAUAUUGAAUACACUCUAGUCCAUCUACUUAGCAUUUAGUUGCAAAUUUGUAUUGACCUUAAUACAUUUUGUGUAAUGUUUCCCAUU
rnacentral:lncRNA from 1 species